AGGCACACGUUCCUACUUCGACUUCAGAUGUUGCCAAGGAGAAUAAAGCACAAAGGAGAAUUGUCUCUUGUCUGCAUAGCAGAACAAAGAAUAUCGAGCUUACAGUUUGCCUCCUUGAGAGAACCACAUCCAGAUCUUGUGGAGAUGACUCUUCAUGACCUGGACUUUAAAUUGGAUACAGUUAUUAGAGAAGAUUUGAGUUGUCAUCUUUGGGGAGAGGACACGAUGUUAUAUGAGAAGAAAAGUGAAAGAGGGUGUAAUUUUGCGUAGAAGCAGUUGUGAAGUCAGAAGUGACAUUUCCCCGUAGUCCUAAGUGGUGCUCUGAAACUUGUUCUCAUCGCUGGAUGUAAGAAAAAGUGAUUUUCCCUUUUCUACCCGAAGCAGCUAAGAGACUGCUGUGGUUUCUCAUGUUCUCUUUCUUCAUCGGCCAUCUAGGUGUUAAGUUCAUUGUAUGGUGACAUAAACAAGAA
rnacentral:lncRNA from 1 species